rnacentral:rRNA from 1 species
UACGUAGGGUGCGAGCGUUAAUCGGAAUUACUGGGCGUAAAGCGUGCGCAGGCGGUUUUGUAAGCCAGAUGUGAAAUCCCCGGGCUUAACCUGGGAAUGGCAUUUGGGACUGCAAGGCUUGAGUGCGGCAGAGGAGACUGGAAUUCCUGGUGUAGCAGUGAAAUGCGUAGAUAUCAGGAGGAACACCGAUGGCGAAGGCAGGUCUCUGGGCUGACACUGACGCUGAGGCGCGAAAGCGUGGGGAGCAAACAGGAUAGAAACCCU